AUAAAUAUAUAUUCAACAUAUGACUAUAUAAUAUGAAUAUAUAUAGGCACACAUACAUAUAUAUUUUAUUAUUUCAGAAUGUCAGUAGGAAUUAUCUAGGUGGAGAGAUUAUGGCUCAUUUUGAAUUUUCUUUUUCUUUUUUUUUUUUUUCUUUUAAAUAGAGACAGGGUCUCACUAAGUUGCCCAGGCUGGUCUCAAACUCUUGGGCUCAAGUGAUCCUCCUGACUCAGCCUCCCAAAGUGCUGGAAUUAUAGGCAUAAGCCACCACGCCUGGCCAAUUUUCUUUAAAAAUUAAACAAUCUUAAAUAUCAUGUUUUAUAAAGGGGAGAUUCAGAAGGUGGUUGAAGGAGGCAAGUCUUAUUCCUGACUGUUGUGGGGAGACCUGAGGUGGCAAGGAAGAGAGAUGUCAGUGGUUCUUUGCUUUUUCAUUGACAUCUCCAUGUUUCUUUGCAGCACAUACAGCCACCUGCACAUGUGGAGCUUGGUCUGGGAGGCUGCCUGCUCCCCCUUCGAGCCUGGGUGGCAUGUGUCCAGGUGCCACCCCUAAGCGGAAGAGCCUUUCCUGGGGUGGUGUGCAGAUGGCCACAAGGGAGGCAAGGUGGCCCAGGGAGGAAGAGAGAAGCCCAGGAGAAGCCAGCUCAGGAUACCUCUUGGACAUGGCAUGAGAGCGCGCUGUCUUUGGCAUGUUCCGCAGGAGAAAUCCAUCAGAGGAAGUGAGAGUGAAGGUGCUACAAAGCCACAAAACUAACCAGAAACCAAAGGUGUAAAUGAACACCAAGAUGGCAGCUCCAGGCACAUGUGUCAAAAUCAUCUUUCCCAAAUUGAGAUAGAAGGCAGGACUCAACUCUGGACCAGACUGAAGACUAGCUAAAACAGUGAAGAGGGGAAUGCACCUCUCCAUAAGACAUGCCCAGAGGGCCAUGUCAGUUUACCAUUGCCAUGGCAACACCCAGAACUUACCGCCCCUUUCCACGGCGACAACCAGUAAGUACCACCCUUUUUCUAGAAAAUUCUGAAUAACUCACCUCUUAAUUUGCAGGUAAUCAAAAGUGGGUAUAAAUCUUACUGCAGGGCUUCCUCUGAGCUGCUACUCUCAGCACACUGCCCACAGGGUAGCCCUGGUCUGCAUGAGGAGUCAUGGAGUGUAACAUUACUGCUUCCAUAAGCUGUUUUCUUCUACC
rnacentral:lncRNA from 10 species